rnacentral:lncRNA from 7 species
CAUCCAGCUUUAGCUGAAUAUAGUGAGUGUUAAGCAAAGUACAGUACGCCUUUAGUUAAGAUUUAUCCCAGUUUAGUUCCUUUUUAGUUUAGUUAAGCCAUUUAGUUUAGUUACGUGAAGUCGGCCCUCGAGUCUUAGUAGAGUAGCCUAAAGCAGUGGAAACUUGCCAUGCAUUCUACUCAAUAGGGAAGUUAAGUUAUAGAAGUCUUUCUUCCUCUUCUGGUGAAGCUAGCUACUGUCGUUUCUAUUGGUUUCUCAAGAGGCUCAAGGUCUUGCUCUACCUAAUCCGAUCUAGUUCCGGUCUGUAAUGAUGGAUAGGAAGGGUUGAGAGAACUACGUAUCUCGCCUAGCAUUUGUGUGUGCGCACCUGCUUUUGGGCGGUUAGCGAAACGAAAGUAAAGACAGCUAUGUGUGAUGAAGUAAGCCCUACGAUGCUCGGUUAAGUAAAGACUGCUGUUAUCUCAUACAAAACAAGGACUCGGGAGAAGAACUAGUUAUCCCCAGAGGGGGAACUAUGAUUCUCUCAGAUGUGUCUAUCGAUAUAGAUCAAGUUGAGUGUUCAGCGAAGUAUGCUAGCCAUUGGCCUUACGUUCAGGAUACUCCUUCCUGUCCUUGCGAUGUUUGGUUAAGUGUUAUCAAUCAGCUUUCCUCUUCUUCCAGCAUUCUUCUAAUCAUUGGUUUGCCUCUAACGAUGGUUGAAUAGCUCCUGUUGUUUGUCUCCACCUUCCUUCUCCCUGUAAGUUGUCCUCAUACUCCCAGUUCUUUCUCUUCUUUCUUUUCUUCCUCUACGACUUUACUAUACUAUAUUAUUCUUGAAUAAGCUAGUGAUUAUCUGUGGCUUACAGUAUGGUAUACCGAGGGCUAACUCCACUACUUCAGAUUGUUGAAUCGAAUAUACCUUCUUUAUAACUAGCUUAGAGUAUUUGAACCUGUUACGUCGAUUGCUGAACCACUUUGACGCUUUGGCUUUGGCUCUGGCUUUUCCUAUAUCUGAAUGUUUCGGAAGAGUCCGUGGCUAUCCUGCGCGAAAGAGGAAGAACUCAACUCUUU